ACUAAAAACAUACAACUAAUAGAAUCAAAGAUUCUAUCGAACAAACAGAUUAUGAUGCUUCUUAAAUAUCUAGCUUCCUGUUAUCUGUUUUGGAAAGAUAUAAUUUAAUUUAUUGAUAAUUUAUCAGCAAACAAAGGGCAUUGUCUCCUUAACAAUACCUAUUGUUCUCCCACAUAUCUUAUAGAGCAAUGGAGAAGUAAACAAUAAUAUCUGUUAUACUCUGCAUAAUUGUGUUCUACUUUAUUUAGCUACUUUAGUUAAAUUAGGAAAGAUGAGAUUUAAGAAACAGAAUUUCUUUAAAUUUUAAGCUUACAGGGCUUUAUUUCUGGCCAGACGUCCUUUUUGAUACGUUCAUCUUCAAAUGGAAUACUAGCAUAGCUGAAGAAGAACGGAUUGGUUCUGCCAAUGCCGUAACUGGGAAGUAAGUCAAUUUAUAGAGCGGCAUCUUC